rnacentral:rRNA from 1 species
UACGGGGGGAGCAAGCGUUGUUCGGAUUUACUGGGCGUAAAGGGCGCGUAGGCGGCCAGCACAAGUCAGUUGUGAAAUCUCCGAGCUUAACUCGGAAAGGUCAAACUGAUACUGUGCGGCUAGAGUGCGGAAGGGGCAACUGGAAUUCUUGGUGUAGCGGUGAAAUGCGUAGAUAUCGAAGAGGAACACCUGCGGCGAAGGCGGGUUGCUGG